ACUGACACGCUUGUCUUGUGAGUGGGUGACAUUAGUAAAGGACUGCUCUCGGGCUUUUUCUG
rnacentral:misc_RNA from 1 species